rnacentral:lncRNA from 1 species
UCAUUGAUAUUUUAGUCCCACAAUACAUGCAAUAAUAUAUAUAUAUAUAUAUAGAAUUGAGCUAGAAUACUUUUACAAGUAUUACCUCCAUGAUACUAUUAGGUUUUUAGCCAUUGGAUCUACUCCUUGAUUAUUAAUAGUCCUUGGAUCAAACACUAUUCCACCUACCACCACCUACCACCAUCAUCUCAACCUCACAUCUCUCCAUCCAAUGGCUAAAAACUCAAAAGCACCACUCAUAUAAUACUUUUACAAGUAUUCUAGCUCAACUAUAUAUAUAUAUAUAUAUAGAGAGAGAGAGAGAGAGAGAGAGAGAGAGAGAGAGAGAGAGAGAGAGAGAGAGAGAGAGAGAGAGAGUUGAGCUAUGAUACUUUUACAAGUAUUACCAUCAUGGUGCUAUUAGGUUUUAAGCCAUUGGAUCUACUUUUUGAUUAUUAAUAGCCCUUGAAUUAAACACUAUUCCACCUACCACCACCUAUCACCAUCAUCUCAACCUCACAUUUCUCCAUCCAAAGGCUAGAAACACACAAGUAUCACCCCCAUAAUACUUUUACAAAUAUUCUAGCCCUACUCUAUAUAUAUAUAUAUAUAUAUAUAUAUAUAUAUAUAGUGAUCAUCAUCAACCUAUGUAUUACUAAGUGGUCAGAGUGAGUUAGUUCUUUACUUCCUGUCUUGUCUUAGGUUGCCCACCGACAGGGUUCUUCUCUCCUUUGACAUCUCACCAACCUGGUUUGUAUUUUUCCCUGGAGCAUAAGUCACAAUGCUGGCUGGCUACUGGCUUAAUCAGUGGUUGUUAUGCAGACGGCCGUUCGAUUCUUGCGUGCUUCUGACUUU